rnacentral:rRNA from 1 species
UUAUGGCUCAGGAUGAACGCUAGCGACAGGCCUAACACAUGCAAGUCGAGCGGCAGCACCGUCGGGUGGCGAGCGGCGCACGGGUGAGUAACGCGUAUGUAACCUGCCCUUAAGUGGGGGAUAGCCCGGUGAAAACCGGAUUAAUACCGCAUAAUACGGGUUGAGAGCAUUUUCAACUUGUUAAAGAUUUAUUGCUUAAGGAUGGACAUGCGUCCGAUUAGCUUGUUGGCGGGGUAACGGCCCACCAAGGCGACGAUCGGUAGGGGUUCUGAGAGGAAGGUCCCCCACAUUGGUACUGAGACACGGACCAAACUCCUACGGGAGGCAGCAGUGAGGAAUAUUGGUCAAUGGGCGGAAGCCUGAACCAGCCAAGUUGCGUGAAGGAAAGAAGGUAUUAUGUAUUGUAAACUUCUUUAGCUGUGGAGUAAUAAGGGAAUCGUGAUUCCCGAUGCAAGUACACAGAGAAUAAGGAUCGGCUAACUCCGUGCCAGCAGCCGC